AGUUGCCUGAGGACAGCAGUGCAGUUGACAUGGAUAUUCUCUUUCCUCUGGACGGUGUUAUUGAGACAGAGCUGUGCUCCAGCCCCGUUCCCCAGAUCAUCCAUUUCAUCCUCUUCAUUGUGUUUAGCCUGGUGAUCCUGAUCAUCUUACGCCCCUACAUUCCCAGGGAGCCGUCCUCAGUGCCUCCCAGAGAGGAGAAUAGCGAGAAUGUAAGGAGCCCUCAGCCCACACCCAGCGGAGAAUGAUUCUAUUUUUCCUGCUCUCUUUUCCACUUUUCCACAUCAACCAGAGGCACUCCUGUGAUGGGAAAUCUCAUCGUCCCUCUAGGGACAGCCGGACAGGCAUGGGUUGGAGUGGGCAUAGGAUUUCCAUCCCAAGCUCCCAGACCAUCUGUGGGGGUGCACGGGAGGCAUCAGAGCAAAAACAAACCCCAGGACUCAGCGGCGAGGACCCAGUCAUGAGAAGGGUGAGGUCUCUGUGGAAGGACAGGCCCUGAGCCCGGGCUCAUCAGCCGCCUUCCUGGGCAGGUGCCUCGGGGCCCAGCCUCUAUGUGGGGUGCUCUGGGGGCUGUGCUGAGCCCCUGAGCGCCUCCCACCUGAGACUGGAGUUGCCUCUGGCCUCCUCGGAAGCAGAAUCCUCCCUGCCAGCCCAGAGACACCUGCAGACCCAAGUGUGUGUGUUUCCCAAGCAGUGGAACAGGGACUGAGGACGCCCAGGGCAGGCCUCACAUAGAAAACCCCUCCGUGCUUUUCAAAGAAGGAAACCAGAAAAGGUUAUUAUGCACUUUUGAAACCAGUGAAAGAGAAUCACACAGGGCUCCGUGAGCUGGUCGGAUAAAGUGUGUCAUUCAUGAGCACUGUGGGUCUGCAGCUGUGGGGACAGGAGACUGAGACCCGGCCUGUAUCCUCUUUCUUGUCUCUCAGGAUCAAGCUGAAGUGGGGGAAUGGCUCAGCAUCGGAAAUAAAUCUAUCACUUUGAAAGGUAAGGCUCUGAGGGUCCCAGAAGCCCCAGAGACGACAGCUUCACCUGUCCCUAGGAACAAGCACCAAGUCUCCUAGGAAGUCAUCUGCAGAGGCCUGAUGGGAAAACUUCUGGUAGGGCAAUUGGAACCCGGGAUCCGUCUCUGAUUCCCUGCUGGGAUGAAGCCAUGGGGUCCAGGGAGCGGGUGUUGCCCAGGAGGGGACCAGUGACCACCUGGACUUGCAGGAGGGGCUGCAGGUCUAUGUGGGCACCUGUUUAACAUGGCUGAGUCCUCUUUGAGACUGCCCCUGUCCACUCUUCCCAGGAGGUGGUCGUGACCCCCCAUGAUGGGGCGUGUCAGGAAGCACUUUGGAGAUGACAAAGUGCUGCCCACUGGGCACCUGCCUAUCACUCCUGGGGCCCUGUGGCCUUGGACAGGGAUGCUGGGGCUCCAGGGUCUAAUCCCCGAUCCCGGGGUCUCCCCUAAGGACACACACACUCAGCCUCCUGUAAGUCCCAGUUCCCUCCCUCGCCACCAUAACCCAUCUCCUGUUUUCCAGAUUACAGAAUUCUCUUGAAAGAACUGGAGAACCUUGAGGUCUACACUUUCCUGUCGAAAAAGUGCCUGAAGAAGCUCUCUAGGGCAGGCAGCUCCCAACACCUUCCACACCAAGUCCGCCCAGGGCCAGUGUACAAACGAGCAUCUGCUAGGAAGCACCGGCCACGUGGGGUGCGUGGGAAAGCUUCUCCCACCAGCUUCCAUGUGUCCCCACGGGCUCCCCCGGCUCCUCUGGCCUCCAUGCCGACAUCAGUCCCGAAGACCUCCGUAGAGUCCUUGGGGUAUCUGUCAUCCCUGAGCUCCUCCCAGGCAUCAGAGGCUUUGCGUCCCCUGAAGCACCCUUCACACCGGCCACCUGUGAGCACCCUAUCACCAAACCUGACCACCUCCGCAGAAUCCUUGGAGUAUCUGUCAUCCCUGAGCUCCUCCCAGCCACCAGAGCCUUUGCGUCCCCUGAAGCACCCUUCACACAAGCCACGUGGGCGUUCCCCUCCCCCACGACGGAAUCCUGGCUGGGUGUCCUGGACCGACUCCACACAGGCUGAUUCCGAAACUGACACCAUAAUAUGCCCAAUGUGCAAGGCCCCUGAGCACUCCUGUCUACACACCUGGUGGGUGCCUUCUAGCCCUCGAGUGAUCCGAGGCGUUGGUUGCCGCAGUGAUCCCGACCUGGUCCUCUCCUGGAGGCAGGAGGCUGCUAGAGCCUGGUGCCACUGCGCCUCCUCACAGUUCCCAUUCGAGCACCCUAAUCUUCCCACCCACCUACCAGAGGCUUCCUUCUAGGGAGACCCCACAUGCAGGCAGGUGGAGGCAGGGGUCCCACUUUCCUCAGCUUGGACGUCCCAACGCUGCUGGACGCACAAGACACCAAAAUCCCAGACACUCCCAUGGACUCCGCACAUCCGACAUCCACGAACAAUUGGGAAUCUCCUGAGGACAACUUGGAGGCGCAUCCCCCCAUCUGGGCACCCCACAGAUGCUGGAAAUGUGUGUUCUAAUGGAUUGGGAGAGACGGAGAUGGGGUCCAAACCUCCAGUCCCUGGAGCCCGUAAAUCUCCUUGGGAGGCUUGGCGCCCACAGAGACCUCUUCCACAGCGCUGCACACACAGAUCUUCCUUCCUAGAGGAUCUGAACUCACUUAGAAAACUGCCAACACAGGAGGGAUAACAUCAGCUGUGGCCCCCACUGGAGAACCCAGAGACUCUGGGUCAUUGUCAACAUUGCCCCCCAAAUGGGCUCUCUGCUGGGGAAGAUGCUCAGGAAUUGUUGCUCUUUUGCAAUGCCAGUCUCUCCUAACAGAACUGCAGAUUCCACGUGUAGACCUGCAAACUUCUGUUCUAUGCAGUUCCCUGAGUCACAGUUUAGACAAUCACAAUUUUUUUUAGAUGGAGUCUCACUCUGUUGCUCAGGCUGGAGUACAGUGGCACCAUCUUAGCUCACCACAACCUCCGCCUCCCGGAUUCAAGCCAUUCUCCUGCCUCAGCCUCCCGAGUAGCUGGGAUUACAGGCGCAUGCCACCGCACCCAGCUAAUUUUUGUAAUUUUAGUCGAGAGAGGGUGUCACCAUGUUGGCCAGGCUUGUCUUGAACUCCUGACCUUGAGAUAUCUGCCCGCCUUGGCCUCUCAAAGUGCUGGGAUUAUAGGCUUGAGCCACCACGCAUGGAUGAAUCACAAAUUGUAAACCUGAAUAAAAUGCUGCAACCUCCAAUGAGAGGAAAAUA
rnacentral:sRNA from 1 species